AAAAAAGGCAGUAGGCAUGCAUCUUAGGCAAAUCCGGGGUGCUCUAUGCUGAGAGCUGAUAGCAAGCUAGUUUACUAGCGAAGUGGCUGAUACUAUGCUUCCAGGAAAAGUCUCUAAGCUUCAGUUACACAGGAAUCGUACCCUAAACCGACACAGGUGGUCAGGUCGAGUAGACCAAAGCGCUUGAGAGAACUCUGCUGAAGGAACUAGGCAAAAUGGUACCGUAACUUCGGGAGAAGGUACGCUGCUGACGGUGAUAGGACUUGCUCCUUGAGCUAUUGGCAGCCACAGAAACCAGGCCCCUGCAACUGUUUAUUAAAAACAUAGCACUCUGCAAACACGAAAGUGGACGUAUAGGGUGUGAUGCCUGCCCGGUGCUGGAAGGUUAAUUGAUGGGGUUAGCGUAAGCGAAGCUCUUGAUCGAAGCCCCAGUAAACGGCGGCCGUAACGAUAACGGUCCUAAGGUAGCGAAAUUCCUUGUCGGGUAAGUUCCGACCUGCACGAAUGGCAUAAUGAUGGGGGCGCUGUCUCCAGCAGAGGCUCAGUGAAAUCGAAAUCGCCGUGAAGAUGCGGUGUACCCGCGGCUAGACGGAAAGACCCCGUGAACCUUUACUGCAGCUUGACAUUGAACUUUGAUCUUACUUGUGUAGGAUAGGUGGGAGGCUUUGAAGUAGUGACGCCAGUUGCUAUGGAGCCAUCCUUGAAAUACCACCCUGGUAAUAUUGAGGUUCUAACUCUGUCCCGUUAUCCGGGACGAGGACCAUGUCUGGUGGGUAGUUUGACUGGGGCGGUCUCCUCCUAAAGAGUAACGGAGGAGUACGAAGGUGCGCUCAGCGUGGUCGGAAAUCACGCGUAGAGUAUAAAGGCAAAAGCGCGCUUAACUGCGAGACCCACAAGUCGAGCAGGUACGAAAGUAGGUCUUAGUGAUCCGGUGGUUCUGUAUGGAAGGGCCAUCGCUCAACGGAUAAAAGGUACUCUGGGGAUAACAGGCUGAUACCGCCCAAGAGUUCAUAUCGACGGCGGUGUUUGGCACCUCGAUGUCGGCUCAUCUCAUCCUGGGGCUGAAGCAGGUCCCAAGGGUAUGGCUGUUCGCCAUUUAAAGAGGUACGCGAGCUGGGUUUAGAACGUCGUGAGACAGUUCGGUCCCUAUCUACCGUGGGCGUUGGAAAUUUGAGAGGAUCUGCUCCUAGUACGAGAGGACCAGAGUGGACGAACCUCUGGUGUACCGGUUGUGACGCCAGUCGCAUCGCCGGGUAGCUAUGUUCGGAAGGGAUAACCGCUGAAAGCAUCUAAGCGGGAAGCCUACCUCAAGAUAAGAUUUCCCUAGGACUUUAUGUCCUCUAAAGAGCCGUUGAAGACUACGACGUUGAUAGGUUGGAUGUGGAAGUGCGGUGACGCAUGAAGCUGACCAAUACUAAUUGCUCGUGAGGCUUGACC
rnacentral:rRNA from 1 species